ensembl:snoRNA small nucleolar RNA SNORA23
CCAUACAUGUGUGUAUGUAUGUGUGUGUGUGUGUGUGUGUGUGUGUGUGUGUGUGUAUACACACACACACACACACAUACACAUACAUACAUACAGAGAGAGAGUGUGUGUUAUAAUAUUUUUACACUGUACAU